UACGGGGGGGGUAAGCGUUGUUCGGAAUUACUGGGCGUAAAGGGCUCGUAGGCGGCCAACUAAGUCGGACGUGAAAUCCCUCGGCUUAACCGGGGAACGGCGUCCGAUACUGGAUGGCUUGAAUCCGAGAGAGGGAUGCGGAAUUCCAGGUGUAGCGGUGAAAUGCGUAGAUAUCUGGAGGAACACCGGUGGCGAAGGCGGCGACCUGGGUCGACACUGACGCUGAGGCGCGAAAGCGUGGGGAGCAAACAGG
rnacentral:rRNA from 1 species